GUACAAAAAUGGUUUAUUUAUGUCAAAUAACCAAAUGUGUAAUCUUUUUUUUAUUUAGAUGUAGUACCUUACUGUUAUUUUUUAUUGAUAAAAUAUAAAUGUGGUUGUGUUGCCCAAAGCAAACUACAUCUCCCAGCUUACCUGCCUCUGAACAGCCCCUCUCAGCUGCGUGCCUUACCUGACGCUGUCUGCUGCCCAAAGCAAACUACAUCUCCUAGCUCAGCUGCCUCUGAACUGCCCCUCUCAGCUGUGUGGCGUACCUGACGUUGAUCCUUUCAAUAUUGCAACUGCGAAAUUCACCGGCAUCGCCUCGCUGGAAGGAUUGUUUGGCGUCCACGUUGCUGCUCGUAUUCCUCCUGUUGAUUAUUAGCUUCCACAAUCAGCUAGUUUCGCUUCCUUCACAGUAGGCUACAGACAUCGGUUCGUGCCGGUAGCAUUCACCAUCUAAGCCAGUAACCUACAUUCCGGCAGCCGGCUCCUUAAUCUCCCACUGCCACACUGGACUGGGGAACCUUCCUGCCACCGUAGCUUCUGUCCAGGUGUGCCACGGCCCCAAGUAGCACUCAGUGGCUCUUCAUUCAUUAGCCAAAGUGCCACUACUACAGGCUCACCAGAACAACGGAGAGUCUUGCAACUGUCUACGGGACAGGUCGCUGGAUCUGACUCCUCCUCUUCGCGCACUGCAUGCCGUAUUAUGAGUGGUGACGUGCACCUCACCAUUUGCAUUGAUCCCUUUUUGCAGUGCCUGUGCUGUGUUGUGUGCAGGACGUGUGAGUAGGCACCAGAAUCAAGAGCACGGGUGGCGUGUCGGUCUCACUCCUUUUCCAGGACGGGUAACCCCCUGCAACAACUGCUCCCUAUAAACCCCAUCAGUGUCCCCUACCAUUCUGGUGGCAGCCAUUAUCCUCCCUCUUGCCGUAUUCCAUAUUUUAUUGUGAUUUAGCC
ensembl:lncRNA